UUAAAGUCACCCACAGCCUCUCCAAAUUAAAAACCUCAAACUGAGUUCACUGGCUUUGUCACUGUACUCCCAGCAGGAUGCUCUUUUGCCUUGCCCCACCGUUCAGUUUAAUCCUCUAGAAAGAAAAUUUUUGGAGGUACAUCGGACUAAAUCAUUUUCGUCUGACCACACCAUUUCCAAAUGGCCGCCCAGGGUCCUAAAUCCGGCGGCUACGGAGAGGGACUAGCGGGUGUCCUCUGUAAAGCCCUGGGACUCCAGCGCCUUCAUCACUGGACGUUGGAAGCCGGGAAGGAAACCCACACACUCAGAGACAGGGGUGUGUGUGUAUAUGUAUGCGCAUGCAUAAGUAUUCAUUCUUGAACUUCUAUACUGAAGUCAGUAGUGAACUCUGCAAAUAAGUUGCUGGCAUACAUCAUCACAAAUAAUUAUGUAAUAAAGAGAAAAUAUAAAAAAGAUGGAUGUAGAACAACAACAAAACUGAAAACAUUAUGCCUUACAUAAGCUAAUAGUAGCUACAAUUCUUACUUUUAUUGUCUUUGGAGAAAACAAGUGGAGGCCUCUCAGGGGCAGAAUGGGAUAUGACAUGGAAAGCACCACCAUAUAUAAGACAUGAACAAAGGAUUACAUGGAACAUGGAAAUCUUCAUGAACAUGGUGGCAUUUAUGCUGGAUCUUUUAAAACAGAAGAGUUUUUAGGUGGAGGAAGGAUUGAAAAACAUUUCAGUUGAACUAAACAGAAUGUCUAAAUGGACAGGUAGUUUUCUAGCCCUUUGGAUUCACUCCUCUCAAUGACUAUAGAUGUUUCUUCUGUGGAAUGAAAGAACUUGAGACUUCAAAUGUGCAGCUUCAAGAAUUUGGCUUUCCAAUUCUCUAUGAAUCUUCGCCUUUGCAAUGUGAUUUAGAGCUGAGUUAUAGUAUAAUCACAUGUCAAGGUUACUACCAUCCAACAUUUUAUCAACUUCAGUUUGAAGUUAUCUUUAAAUUUGAAGCUUCAUAUUACUAUGCUAUUUUUCUUUACUUCUUUCUUGAUUCAGAAAAUUAAUGUUUAUGUCAAUUAAGUAACACCUGCAUUUUACUACUGGUCUAAUUUUACUUCCCACCUAUUUAUUCUUUUCUUUAUGCUCCCCUUCAAGUUUUCCACAUCUAUGUUUGCUUUAAUUUUCAUUCCUUUUAUCAAUGUUAAUAUUGCUUUUCCAAAUUUUUACUGUCCAAGACAUUUCAUUGCUAAAUUUGGAAAGAAUUUACAUAAAUCCUGAGGGAAUUCAUAGCAAAAAGAAAAAUGAAACAAACUUCUGUGAACUGUACAUUUUCAUGUUUAUUAAAUGCAAAAAAUCAUUUUUUAAAGAGAAAUAAACAAAACUACUUUUGCUUUGUGCCUUCGCCUUCUGAAGAGAGCUCUGGAAAAAAUGUCCAUCAGAUUACAUAUUUUAUUGAAUAUUUUAGUGAAAUGAACAUUCAAAUUAAGUUAGUAAGCUUUUGGUAUCAUGCAUGUGUUUAAAAUUGCUGUUAAAUGCCUAUAUCACAAUUUAAGUUUCUUGGGGAAAAAAGUAUAUUUUGAUAAAAUAAUUAUUUAAAACACUGCCUUAAUUUUUAUAAGUGCGAGUACACUAUAUGGCAGAGAAGAAUAUACAAUUAUAUUUGUUCACAGGGUUAUUGGUGAUUUUGAGAAAUUUUUAUUUUAUCUCUAUGGAAACCAUGAGUCAUUCAUUCAUUUUCCUACAUAUACAAAAUCCAAAUUCAUUUUAAAAUUUAAAAUAAAUUAAAAUAUAUUGGAAUAUCUUUCUGCAACUUGGUAACAUCGUUAUAUCCAUCACAUGAGAUCUUCUCAGAUGGGAAUUACCUUAUUGCAUUGAGAGAAUUCUAAGUGUGUUAUUUUCAGAAUGAGAUAGAUAUCUCUUGAGCUUCUGUAUCUUCUUGGUCUGAAAUCCCUACAUUUUAAAGAAUUCAUUUAGUAAUAUUUUGGUGUUGCUCACGAUUUAGAAGUUUUCAGUUGGACACAAUAACAAUUGGUUAUCAAACUACUGUCUAAUUCUAUUUGUAUCUUUGGAACAUUUAGACUUUAAAAAUUCAUGAAUACUUUUAAAGAAGAUUUAAAAUGUUAGAGUAUAAAAAUAGAAUAUAGACAACUGCAAUUGAUCCCUCAGCUUGACAACAGAUGAAAAUUUUUAGAGCUAAACAUAUUAUUUCUAUUAUCUAGCCAUAAAAGGAAAGUAUCAUGAUGACAAGUGCAUUUAUCAAUUUAAACUAGAUUCUCAUAAUCUUCACCUUGUACCAGAAUUUUAUCUGGUUCUAAAUACAUAGAAUAUAAAAUAUAAAAAUCAGUUCUAAAAUAUAAAAAGACAUACUUCUAUCCAUGUUAAAUUUUUAAGUAAUUUUAAGCAAAAGAUGCAGUUCCAUUGAUUAAUACAUGGCAUGUUUCUAUGAGCUAAAUAAAUGCUGAGAAAUGUGGAAGCAACUUACUCAUUUAAAGGGCAUAAGCUACACAUGGAUAAGGCCAUGUUUGGGUUUUGUUUUGUCCACAAAUCUGACAUAGUGGUGAAUGAAUAAUGAAUAAAUGGAAAGAAGUAAAGUGAAAGAAGAAAGGGACAAAUGGAUGAAUAAUACAAAUAUAUUUCUGUUUAUCUUAUAUCUUAAAUUUUGUAUACUAACUGCAAUACAGUAAGCAGACUAGUGUUGCCUAAAAAAGUCUGAGCCCAAAUGCAUUCCUAAGUUACCUGUAAUUAGCAUAUCCAAGCACCUUGUUAGGGAUGGCUGGCUUCUACAUACAUUGCCUUUGCUUUACAGGCUGUCUGGUAUUUUGUAAAUUACAGUGAGAUUACUCCUAAAGGAUUAAACUCUCAAGUUAUCUACUUAAGCAAAAAUUUCCCUUGAAAUCCCUUAUACUACCUAUAAAACUUGAUUUUGGAGGUCUAUGCUUUUACAUCAUAAUUUUUAAAUGCAUUAAAGUUUGAGGAGUACUGUGCUAAACUUAAGACAAAGUCAAAACUCUGGGUAGUGAGUGACUGACCUAUUGCUCAGUGACAGUAUAGUUUAGAUGUUAAGAGUCCCUGCUUUGAAAUCAGUGUGCUGACUCUGAAUCCGAGAUCUAUGGCUCAGCAGCUGUGUGACCUUGACCAAAUGACUUAAUAUCUCUUGAUCCAUUCCCACAUCUGUAAAAUCAGAUUAUAAUUGUACCUAUGGAAUAAAUUGUUGUGAUAAUCAAAUGAGAUAAUCUGUGUAAAUGGUUUGAAAUAGGGUCUAGCAUGUAGUGAAGUGUGUUUGCUAUUUCUCCUGACUUUAUGAUAACUAUAAAAUUCCUAAUAAAGAACAAAUGAUGGAUAAGAAUUAUAAAAUGUUUGUUUGCCUGCAGAAUAUACUCCAUUCUAUUUUCAUAAAUCAGCCUGUAAACUUAAUGAAUAUAAAUAAAUAGUUUCCCGGGAAGAGAUAAGGAGAUAAAUGUCACUGACACACAGUAGGUAAUGCUUACUGGAUUUUAAUCUAAAUCUUGCUUGAGCAGAUCGAUGUGCAUGCUAUUCUUGGAAAAGAUAGAAAGAUUACUUUGCCUACCUGUGUCCUAUCUCUUCAGUCUGUCAUUACCUUUGGAGGCCCUACUGAACAUGAAUCAGUCUUAUGCUCUUAGGCAUCAAAUGCAGAUUGAGAGUUACAAUCUAAGCCUGGCUCAGAAGUUAAAUAUACUGAUAGCGUAACUCCUCAUCCCUAAGACCUACCAAGUUAGUUCUCCUGAACAAAUCUUUUUGGUUCAUUGGCCAAAAAGCAUUUCCUAUCAUAAUUCCUGGCCACAGCUCAACAGCACAUGCAAUCCCAGUUAGAAUCACCAAAGGAAUGGUUCUUCCAGGUGCUCUGCCAUGAGGCCCCCAGGUCCACUUUCACACACACACACACACACACACCCCUUUAAUACCGCCAUCUGUUUAAACUUUUACCCCUUUGUUACCAUCAUCUCAGAGUUCUUGCCUCUGCUUGAAUAAGGGCAAGCUGUAUCCUUUCCAACUGAAACUGUGGUGGCAGAUGUAUUCCUAACAUGCCCAGUUAUCUCAUUAAUUUAACCAAUAUUUAUUCAGCAUUGCAGCAUGCCAGAGAUUAUGUGGUGGACUUAAGAUAUGACUAGGUGAACAACUUACACUGAUUUCAUGACAACUGUUAUCUAGCAGGGAAGAAUGAACAUUAUGUUAGUAAAUAUUUGCUGUAAUAUAUGACAUUGAUAC